AAAAAAAUGACGUGGUAGAUGCAGGAAGGUGCCACAUGGGCUGAACCGCUUAACAAUGAAAUUGGAACGGCCAUUGAAUUGACCGAACUCGGCCCUAAACCUUCUUGAACCAGAACUGGCUAGAACCUCCUAGGGCCGGUCUGGUUCAUUCCCUCUCUAAACCCUGAACUGCUAGAACUGGCAUUUACCAGUUCUAGCUCAGUAGAUGCUCCAUUGAAUUUAAUUAACUAUUAGGACAGUUUUCUUUAAUUGGACUAAUUAUCUGCUAAGGUUUACAUUUUCUAUAACAGCUGUUCUUUUUUCAUGCACAGAAUCAUGAUCUGGGGAAUGAUGUGUUCAUUCCUCAACUAUUUACUGCUGUA
rnacentral:misc_RNA from 1 species